rnacentral:rRNA from 1 species
CAGCACCACAAGUGGCAAUCACGUUUAUUGGGCCUAAAGCGUCCGUAGCCGGUUUAGCAAAUCUUUUGUGAAAUCGUCAGGCUUAACUUGACGAAUUGCAGAAGACACUACUAAACUAGGGACUGGGAGGAGUCAGAAGUAUUCUGGGGGGACCGGUAAAAUGGUAUAAUCCCCAGAGGACUACCGAUGGCGUAGGCAUCUGACUAGAACAGAUCCGACGGUGAGGGACGAAAGCCAGGGGAGCGAACCGGAUUAGAGACCCGAGUAGUCC